rnacentral:rRNA from 1 species
AUUGAACGCUGGCGGCAGGCCUAACACAUGCAAGUCGAACGAGUGGCGGACGGGUGAGUAAUGUAUGGGGAACUGCCCGAUAGAGGGGGAUAACUACUGGAAACGGUGGCUAAUACCGCCUACCAUCGGAUGAACCCAGCUGUGAUUAGCUUGUGGGUGGGGUAAAGGCUCACCUAGGCGACGAUCUCUAGCUGGUCUGAGAGGAUGAUCAUCCACACUGGAACUGAUACACGGCCCAGACUCCUACGGUAGGCAGCAGUGGGGAAUAUUGCACAAUGGGCGCAAGCCUGAUGCAGCCAUGCCGCGUGUAUGAAGAAGGCCUUCGGGUUGUAAAGUACUUUCAGCGGGGAGGCGGUACCCGAAGAAGAAGCACCGGCUAACUCCGUGCCAGCAGCCGCGGUAAUAC